CUACUAGUACAUAUUAUCACCACGCCUGCUUAACACAGCAAGCGUUUGUCGCAGUGGAGCGCGUCGAAUGGUAGCUGUAUUUGUUUGAACCUUAAUGUAACUGAUCUUCGUUUGGAUCACAACAUAGGAAUAAUGUGGAAGGAAGUAUUAUUAAUUUGUGUUGUGUAUGCAACUACAGCAACUGCCUUCCAAACCUGCUUAUACACAUCCCACUGUGAAGACAUAUUGGCGAGAAAAGCAGCAUCAGUCGGUCACGAUGAAUAUGAGUUUUGUAGAGUUCUAUAUGAUGUCAGAUAUUGUAUGGAUAUGAAUAAAGUGAAAUGCCAAUCUGACACACUUCCAAAUAUUCAGAGAUAUUUAGACGACCUAUUCCGAGGGCAUGAUAAUUGCAAUAAUGCAAGUUUUCUCGGAGCAUCUCUACUGAUGAGUUCUAUUGCCUUUUUAACCGCUAGAUUACUCCACUAAAAGAAGAAGGCCAUGACGCAGUAAAUCUAGAUAAUAAAUUAUACCGAUUGGGAACUAAAAUGAUAAAUAAUAAUAGGACUAUUAUAAAGCGCUAAAAUCACAAAACGUGCGUAUGGCGCUAUAACGAUAACGGCAACGAAGCUCACGUUUAUUAUUUGUAUUUAGUACCAUGGUUUCCCCUUAUCAGUGCUGUGGGCGAAGGGUCUAGUCGUUCAGAUCGGACGAAAACCUAGGCGUGCACAUAAAAGGACCCUUGGCAGUUGGAAUUCGACAAAGGGUAGGCCAAAAUACCGCAAAAUUACCCCCAUAGCACACUGAUGUAUGCCCGUCUGCAUUAUCCCGAUUGGUGGAGAAACGUUGUACGCUAUUUUUAAACACUACAUGUAUGGUGUAUGCCCGUAUUCAUCAUUAGCCCAAUCGAUGCAGACGUUAAACCCCAUUUCAUUUCAUUUCCUAAAACGUUGCCGUCAUUGUUUUCGUUGCCAAUCUGAUUAAAAUGUAAAUCUAAAUUUUGUUCUGUUUCUGUUGACUUUCGACGACCUUCACUCCAUAAAGAUCUGACCGAGAGAUUAUGUCACGGGUUAUUAUUAAUGUGAACUUUAAAAUUCUAAUUUAUAUCACAUUUAAAUUUUGUUUUCAACCACUGGUGAUUCCCAGAAUCCAUUUUCAAAACUAACACAAAGCUCAUAAAAUAGAUGAUGUCAUUGGCUAAUCCCCCACGUUAAUCAGAACGCUGUUUCUUCUACAACUGAUGAAAACCUACUAUCUUCGAAGAUACGAAAUUUUAAAAAUGAAAAAAACGAAAUAUGAUCUGUUUCAAUCAGAUUGGGACUAGGCCUACUAAUUACGAUUUAUUCCUUUAAGCCGAUUCUCAACGUAACCAUCGCCAUUAUGCCAAGGUAUUACACCAUGCAGUCCCUGAUAUAAAUGUCGUAAUACCCCGGCCUGGUGCAGAUACAGGAGAAACUUGCCAUAGAAAAAAUGAAUGAUCCUGGUUGAUUUUGUCACGUCUAAUUUCUAUAUGUUAUAACUUACAGCUUGAUGUUUUGCUUAAAUUCGAUAUCGAUUGAUUUCUUUAUAAAUUGGUAGAUGCUUAUUGUAGGCCGGUUGGGAAGGUUUGGGAAUUUCGGGAGUCCACAAUGGCCGUUUUAUAUAAAUGUGUAUUUUGGGGAAUACUAACACUAACUCUAACCCUUUUAAGUGGGGUAAAGAGUAAAUUGGACCCAAGUUCAGUCUACAAUUAGCAUCUCUCGCAUUAAAACCAGAUUUUAUUAUGCAUACAUAGUGAAAUACACCCCGGCUAUGAAAAUGGGGGAUGGGAUUAACAGUUUAUCUUAACCCUUUAGCACCCAGUGUAUGUAAAUAUUGAUAUAAAUAGUUCAUACCGGUAUAUACGUGGACAGCUCAAAUUUUUUUUUCCUUAGACCACCCUGAACCGGUUUCGGUCAGUUUAAGCUCUAAAGAAUCUAUUACACUCAAUUGCGUCUUGUAUUCUCGGGUGCAAACAAUAGUCGAAAGCAGCUUAGAUACUCUUUUUUGCCUUGGGCCGUAUUAGUGUUAGACCCAUUUGUCCCCAUUCGCAUAUUCAAUUAGAUUAUUUUUCUUUUUAGAAUGGCGUUUUAUUACAUUGUUUAUAUUACUAAUAUGCAAAACACUUUGAUUAUGAGGAUUUCGUAUUGAAUUAUGAUGUAAAUUUAUGUAUAUACUGUUAAUAUUGAUCACUUAUUAAAUCUUUUUUUAUAUAAUUUUA